UACGAAGGGGGCUAGCGUUGCUCGGAAUCACUGGGCGUAAAGGGUGCGUAGGCGGGUCUUUAAGUCAGGGGUGAAAUCCUGGAGCUCAACUCCAGAACUGCCUUUGAUACUGAAGAUCUUGAGUUCGGGAGAGGUGAGUGGGAACUGCGAGUGUAGAGGUGAAAAUUCGUAGAUAUUCGCAAGAACACCAGUGGCGAAGGCG
rnacentral:rRNA from 1 species